AACGCACAUUGCGCCCCCUGGUAUUCCGGGGGGCAUGCCUGUUCGAGCGUCAUAAAAACUUCCUCCCCCUUCGGGUUUUGUUACUAUCGUUGGGGGGUUUUGGCCUAAUGGGAUAGCGAUUGGCAAUUCGUUUCCCAAUGUCCUAAAUAGACGUAGACCCGCCUCCAGAUGCGACAGCACCGAGGCCAUCAACCGUGGAGUUAUGGGAUAUAAUAGGCUUGCAGUAAAAUGCUCACCUCUCUCCACACGCCGAUGGCACGACAGUUGCAGUUGCGGGCGUAAAUUGGAGCCCUUUUCAGGACCCUUGUGGCCUAGCAUCCACCAUACAUAAUUUGACCUCGGAUCAGGUAGGGAUACCCGCUGAACUUAA
rnacentral:misc_RNA from 1 species